AUUGUGCACUGUGACUCCCAGAACAGUAAACACCUGCCAGCUUACAAGAUGGUCUCCAGAGCUGCGAUGAUGGUGGUGUUGGUGGUGGCCGCUGUCUUGGGGGCAGCCCUGGCCGGUCCCGUGGCAGCCCCGGUAGGCAACCCCGGAUUUCUUGGAGGCUACGGAGGAUAUGGUGGAUAUGGUGGCUAUGGUGGAUAUGGUGGGUAUGGAGGAUACGGUGGAUAUGGGGGCUACGGUGGAUAUGGCGGCUAUGGUGGCUUUGGACGCGGAUUCGGGUUCGGAUUUGGCCGCUGAAGUUAAAUUGUAUCAGAGAUGAGCUGUCAUAACUGCACGAUCUUUGUGAGCAACCGCAAUAGACACAGGUCCAUAUGAAUAAAAGAAACUGCAGGAGGCCUUUUGGACCAUACGAUGAGGCUCCUAUUUUAUCAACCCAGACUCAUUCAUAUAGUUUACCCGAUUUUACCCGAGUUUAUGUGUAAUCUGCUCUUUAAACAAACCUGCGAUCCGACCUUUGUUAUGUUGUUCCGUUAAUUUGUUCCAUAAAUUAACUACCCUAUUCCUAAACUAGUUUUUAACCUAUUUCUAAACCAUUAUUUGUUAAUAAAUACAUGAAUACA